UACGGGGGGGGCAAGCGUUGUUCGGAAUUACUGGGCGUAAAGGGCUCGUAGGCGGCCAACUAAGUCAGACGUGAAAUCCCUCGGCUUAACCGGGGAACUGCAUCUGAUACUGGAUGGCUUGAGUUCGGGAGAGGGAUGCGGAAUUCCAGGUGUAGCGGUGAAAUGCGUAGAUAUCUGGAGGAACACCGGUGGCGAAGGCGGGUCUCUGGGCAAUAACUGACGCUGAGGAGCGAAAGCGUGGGGAGCGAACAGG
rnacentral:rRNA from 1 species